UGGCUCAUUCGGGGUAAGGUUAUCACGAGGAGCCCGUACAAUCAACUUGUGGUAUUUCUCAACCUUUUUGUCCAGUAUUUUACAGUCACAUCUAUUUUUAUUUCCACGGUCUGAUGGUGUCCAAGAAAAUCAAACAAACCGACAAAAGAAAAACGACGUUUGCUAGUUGCAUGGACUUUAUCGGAAAUUCCAUGAAUUAUCAGGCAGUCGUAUAUAAAUCUUUGCGGUGCUUCUUUAAUAAUGCUUCAGUCUUAUUUUAUAAUAAAUUUACAACUAUAUUUACACACUAAUGUCGUCAUCUUGCGCCAUAGACGUUUAGGAAAACGGACAAUUAGUUAAAUUUUCGUUUGUACAUUCUAGAAGCAUCAUGAACUUCCAAAAAGUACUAUUAACGUUAUUACUGAUACCGUUGCAAUGCGUCCUAGCAGGUGUACGGCUCUCGGAUGCUGAGAUAAGUGCUAUAGUUCUUGGAAGUGUAGGAAUUUUGAUUGCAAUUCCCAGUUUGAUCCUGUGUAUCUGCAUUGUUAGCGGAUGCUAUGGUGUCAGGGGAGAGAAGUUCAAAAUGAGAUGCAACCAAUGCUGUAGGAACUCUGUUUAGAUUCUAGAAACUUGUCCAUAGUUUUUUCAGCAAGUGGCCAAACAAAAUGUAAAAGACUCAGGCAAACCGAACUCUCAAGAGUCUGAAACAUAAAACAGAAAACUGACCUAGACUUCUAUUAUAUUUAACGUUAUCAAUGUCCACGUGGAUUAUUUAUUAGUUGUUUGGUGAAAACUUUAUGAUUAUUUAUUAGUUUUUAUGUGAAAAUGUAUUACUAUUUAGAUAGUCGUAAUAAUCAUAAUAGAUAGUCAAAAUAAUCAUAAUAUUUUUGUGUGUGUAGAUUCUAUCUAGUAUAAAAUAGUGUUUCGCACAUUAGACUUAAUUAAGCUAUUAUGUUUUUUUUUAGAUAAACGUGGUUAAAUGAAAUUUUGUACUUGUCAAUUGAGCAUUAAAAAAGUUAAAGAAAUAUAAACUAGAAUAAUCUUUUAGAUGCAUUUUUAUACUCAAAUAUAGACCUUGCGCUCUAUGGGGCAGAACAUGUAGAUGUCAUCUGUUUCUAAGGCACAACGUCAAACUGCCUAUAAUUUUCCUGUAGGCCUACUAAUUUCAUUUACACAAUAGAGCUUGAUAGGCUCAAAAUUAAAAAAAAAAUAAAAAAUCCUUCAACAGGAUUCGAACCCGAGAUUUUAAGCUCGGAGGUAGAGCGGAACAUUUCAAAUAUAGUUUAUUGUAGUCUAUAUAGAAGCUAGCCUCACGUGACCCAAAUUAUCCUAUUUCCCCCAGAAGCUAGUUCUGCUUUUUUAAAACUACUUCCGCUCUUGCUUCUCAAUGUCAUAUCUUUUUU
rnacentral:sRNA from 1 species